rnacentral:snRNA from 1 species
GGAUGUGAGGGCGAUCUGGCUGUGACAUCUGUCACCCCAUUGAUCGCCAGGGUUGAUUCGGCUGAUCUGGCUGGCUAGGCGGGUGUCCCCUUCCUCCCUCACCGCUCCAUGUGCAUCCCUCCCGAAGCUGCACGCUCGGUCGAAGAGGACGACCAUCCCCGAUAGAGGAGGACCGUUCUUCGGUCAAGGGUAUAUGAGUAGCUGCACUCCCCUGCUAGAACCUCCAAACAAGCUCUCAAGGUCCUUAUACCCUUCACGUACUUUCCUCCAGUGGUAGCCACUUACAAAACUAUAGUUUACUGUCACAUUGAGGAUAUUGACUCU